UAAGACGAAUAUGAGGAGGAGUUUCUUCUCAGAGGGUUGUGAAUCUGUGGAAUUCUUUACCACAGAGCUGUCGAGGUUGGCUCAUUAAGUAUAUCCAAAACUGAGGUAGACAUUUUUAAUCAGUAUGAGAAGCAUCGGAUUUUUGGGAAAAGGAAUGACUUGGAAGGAAGUGGGGUUUUCCAGCUGUUGAACUCACGCAGGAACCUUUCUCCUUUCAAUGUCUAUGUAUACAAGUGACGGCGUGGAAACGGGAGUUUCAAUAGGAGUUUCACGCAGUUCUGGGCGGGCUACAGAGCAGUUUGUCUUCCUGGUUGCACAGAGUUGGGAUACGUUGUAUCGUAUUAAGACUGAACAAAAUUGAGACA